rnacentral:lncRNA from 1 species
GCCAAUAGCCAGAAAGGCCAGAAAGGAACUGAGGCACUCAGUCCAACAAGCUCAAGGAACUGAAUACUGCCAACAACCACCUGUAAUCCCAAUGUCCAGAAAAGCAAAUGGCAUAUAGAAGGACAAAAGAAGUACAUGAGAAUUAACACUAGAUGGCGCAAGAUUACAACGAAAGUAAGCCUAAUCAACCCAUCAUUUCCUCCUGACUGGAACUGCCUCAAGAAAAGCCUGUGUCGCCAAGUUUCCUCUGGCCUCCCCGCUCCCAGCCCGUUGAUGUUAACUUUGCUGUAAUAACUCGAAUUUCAAUCACUCAUGCCCCACCUGCAUAAACGUUCUUCUACCCUGCCAAGUAUUGCAGUUCUUCCAUGCGCCAGUGCAUGUUAUCAAGCUCCUCCUCCCCACUCCUGGCAACCCCCCAAC